rnacentral:rRNA from 1 species
AAAAUUAUUAUAAAUAAAGGUUGAUUCUGCCUUUUUUGAUUAGUUUUAUAGUAAUUUUAUAUGCUUGUUUUUGCGUGCUUGUAAUUUUAUCUAAAUGAUAAUUUAUUUUUUAUUUGUAGUUUAUAAUAUUAAUCUUGAUUUGGUAACAUAUUUUUAGUUAAUUUUAUUAGGGAUGUUUAAAAUUGUGCCAGCAUACGCGGUUAUACAAUUGUCUCGAAUUAAUUUUUUUGGUUAUUUAUUAUGCAGUUAUAAUGAGAAUUAUUUUUUAAUUAUUAGGUGAAAUUUUAUUUUUUAUUAUAUUUCUUUGGUAGUU